CCCUUAGAUGCUCUGGGCCGCACGCGCGCUACACUGACGAAUGCAACGAGCUUAUAACCUUGGCCGAAAGGUCUGGGUAAUCUCCAAAUUUCGUCGUGAUGGGGAUAGAUUAUUGCAAUUAUUAAUCUUCAACGAGGAAUGCCUAGUAAGCGCAAGUCAUCAGCUUGCGUUGAUUACGUCCCUGCCCUUUGUACACACCGCCCGUCGCUCCUACCGAUUGAAUGGUCCGGUGAAGCGCUCGGACCGCGGCCUCUUGACGGUUCGCUGUCGAUUGGCUGUGGGAAGUUCGUUAAACCUUAUCAUUUAGAGGAAGGAGAAGUCGUAACA
rnacentral:rRNA from 1 species